GCGGCCCGGGGCUCGGCGCGGAGCUGCUGCCGCCGCCGCUCCCCGCCCGCUUUUGAACAUCGUCUUCGCCCGCCGCCGCCGCCGCCGCCGCCACCGCCGCGGCCGCGGCCGCCCGCCGCCCGGGGGCUCCCCCUGCCGGCCGCUCGCCCCUCCCCGCCCGCGCCCCGCCCGCCCCGGCAGGUGAGAGACCCCCGGAACCCCCUUGGCCCUCGUCCCGUCCGAGAGAGCCCCCAGAAGCCCUUCGGACCUCGCCCCGCCUCCGCCGUCAGGUGAGGGACCCUCGGGCCCUCCAUCGGAUCCCGCCCCGUGUCCCCCGGCAGGGAUCAUAUUCCGGAGCGGGGAACCCCCCACCGAAGACCGGACCGGGAAACUUCACCCUUACUGGAGCGGGUCACCCACCACCCCUUACUGGGGCGGGGGUCCCAGUCCCAUAUUGGAGAUGGGGCAGUCAGGGCUCUGUUUAGAACGGAGGAACAGCCACCCCACGUUUCGGGCGGACCCCUUUUCCCCGACAUUGGCCCGCGGGGUGAUGCUGGCGGUGGGGCCGAGCUGGGAGCGGUCGGGGGAGCCGGAACGACCCGCUGUGGGGCGGCCGCGGGGCCCCAGGCUCCCCCCGCACUCUCCGAGAUGCCCUGGGCUGCCCUGAGCCUCCAUCGGUCCCGGUAAUUCCGCCUCGGGAGUCCGACACCGGAGCAAAACAAAGACCCAGUCGGGCUGCGGGCUGAUGUUUUCCCUUGCACGGAGGGUUUCCUUGGUAAAAUUCAGAUGUUUCCUUGGGUCUCGAUUAAAAUAACAAAGUGGGGUAUUUACUAGGAUGUUAUUUCAAGUCUCUUAAGUCCCUGGUUAUGUCUGUUGCGAUUUCUCCGCAAAUACAAAAACAAGCGCUGCGAUGAUUUAUUUGAAGGAAUGUAGGUGUUUCGCCAAAACAAACACGACUUUUUUUUUUCCUUCUCCCCCCCGAAACAAUCGCUUCUCACGAGCAUUUGUCACUGCAGCCUCUUGGAUUUCUUUCUGCUGUAAUUUUACAGGUGUCUUGUCACA
rnacentral:lncRNA from 1 species